ACCGCCCCAUGAUGCCAAGCAUUCAUCAGCCAUGAUUGCCCAGCAAAUACACAAGAAACUUCUAGGUUGAACUGACCAGGCGCUGCUUCCAUGUAUAAAAAGAUGCUCGUGAGGCCGUGAUGCUUUGGACUUCAGGCUUGCUCGCGUUCAUAUAUGGCACCGGUGUCUACUCUGGAAUCUGCGUGUUGCUGACUCAAGACCCACUUCCACUGAUUUGAUUGGAUCAUCCUUGUCGAGAUUCCAGUAACAUGUGAUUACUCCAUUGUUUUGUAGAUACGUCCUCUCUUGCCUGAAGCAGCUGCCUAAUGGACUUUGGUCAGAACUUUUGAAUAGCAAAGCGGAAAGUUGAAGAGAUGAGGUGCUAGACUAAUACUAAUGUUCUGGUGCUGUACUGACUAAGUUUGUAUAUCUGACAUCUCAACAGGUGAGGCGUUCGGGCACAAAUUAGAAGUAUGUUCUUCAUUUGUCCUCUACCUGAGAAUGCUGAAUCGUCCUCCCGGGUCGCCUCCCUUGGCGACUCCGGAGGCUCCCAAGCCGCCACCAGCUAGAGUUCUUCCUCCAGCCGCCCCAACUACCCCGCUGCCGCUGGAGGAGGCCGUCUGACGGCGGACGGCGGCAGCGGGGAGCUUGCCCGACCUCCGUUUUUCUUCCCUAGUUGUUUUCUCAUCGUUUGGAGAUAUGCGAUCUGGGCGAUCGUGCACCGAUACAGGAAGAUUUCGGCCAAGAUCGAAUUCUUGCUGGAGUAGGUCGUCGAUCUGGUUGCCGCAGCACCUGGUCGCCGGUGUCCCGAUCUGGUUGAUGCUGAUUGCCGGCGUCCCGAUCUGGCUGAUGCUGGCGGCUGGCUAUCAGAUCUUGGAACCGCGUCCUUGCCUUGCGUGCGACCAUGGCAUGAUCCAUUGAAUCCUGGAUACAUCAUUGGCGUGCAGCCAAGGCAUGCUUGCAUGAGUGGCUGGAGCAUGAUGCAUGUGGCUCCAUCUGCUCAUGUACAUGGGCGGCGGCGCACCAUUCCCAGAUAGGCGGUGACGCGGGCCAGCUCUGGUUUGCGCCUCGUAACAGCCAGUGGCUUCGCCUGUUUCCUGCUGGGCAAUCUGAUAGUUCGUCGAAGAGGAGGACCUACCGGAGACCUGGACUCGUGAUCUGGCCGGUGGGUUGAGUUCCGGAAGGCUCCGCCGACGAAUGUAACAGGGAUUUGCCUGGAGUUUGUUGGAUCGGAGGUAUUCGGUCGUGCGCACCCAUGUUUUUAUUCCGACCGAUUGGUUCUGGAGGGAGCGGCGCGAAGCUCUUUUUCUGUGUUGACAUCAAGUGACUAUGGAUCCAUGAUGAAAGUCGGAAGAAGAGAAUUUCAUGAAGGCCGGAGGGGAGGACUAGCUAAGGGAGGUUCCAACUCUCCGCGUUGUUGAGAGACUUGCUUGGUGUUCCGGGCUUCACAAGAGCGGUAUGAAAGUGGGGGCGACAACACAGGUGAAGUGCAGAGUCCUACCUUUCAGGGUGAAAA